GCUGGGCAUGGUGGUGUGUGCCUGUAAUCCCAGCUACUCAGGAGGCUGAGGCAGGAGAAUCGCUUGAACCCGGGAGGCGGAGGUUGCAGUGAGCAGAGACCACGCCACUGCACUCCAGCCUGGGUGACAGAGGGAAACUCUGCCUCAA
ensembl:misc_RNA Metazoa_SRP Metazoan signal recognition particle RNA